AAUGAACGCUGGCGGCAUGCCUAACACAUGCAAGUCGAACGAAGGCUUCGGCCUUAGUGGCGCACGGGUGCAUAACGCGUGGGAAUCUGCCCUUGGGUUCGGAAUAACAGUUAGAAAUGACUGCUAAUACCGGAUGAUGUCGUAAGACCAAAGAUUUAUCGCCCAAGGAUGAGCCCGCGUAGGAUUAGCUAGUUGGUGGGGUAAAGGCCCACCAAGGCGACGAUCCUUAGCUGGUCUGAGAGGAUGAUCAGCCACACUGGGACUGAGACACGGCCCAGACUCCUACGGGAGGCAGCAGUGGGGAAUAUUGGACAAUGGGCGAAAGCCUGAUCCAGCAAUGCCGCGUGAGUGAUGAAGGCCUUAGGGUUGUAAAGCUCUUUUACCCGGGAUGAUAAUGACAGUACCGGGAGAAUAAGCUCCGGCUAACUUCGUGCCAGCCGCCGCGGUAAGAC
rnacentral:rRNA from 1 species